UACGGAGGGGGCUAGCGUUGUUCGGAAUUACUGGGUGUAAAGCGCACGUAGGCGGCGCAUCAAGUCAGGGGUGAAAGGCCUGGGCUCAACCUGGGAACGGCCUUUGAUACUGAUGUGCUUGAGUCCGGGAGAGGGUAGUGGAAUUCCCAGUGUAGAGGUGAAAUUCGUAGAUAUUGGGAAGAACACCGGUGGCGAAGGCGGCUACCUGGCCCGGAACUGACGCUGAGGUGCGAAAGCGUGGGGAGCAAACAGG
rnacentral:rRNA from 1 species